GGAGAGCCGGGUAAGUGAGUGCAAGUCAUGUGGGGGCAACAUGGAGGGGUGGAGAUGGAAGGAUACUGGCAUGGAGGAGAUGAGACAGAGGGAUGCUGGCAUGGAGGAGAGGAGAUGGGAGGAUGCCGAGAGGUAAUACAGGACCUGGAUAUGCAUUGCUGUUGGGAUGGAGGAAUCCACCAAGCUGCUGGUUUCCCUCCAUGCAUGGAUCGCAAGGCCGUUUCCUGAGACAGGCACCGGCGCUGGGCCAGGUUGGUGAGGAAGGUCAGAAAAUCAGUUGUGAAUGUGUUGAGUUCUGGGGGCUGCAAGACCACCAAGCAGAAACAGCACAUGGGCAGUUGUACAUAUUCGGUUUGGGACUCAAAGGAGGGACUGUGACCACGGACGGAUUUGGGAGUCUCCGGGUGUAGGAGGGAGAUGCCCACCUGAGAAAGCAAGCUGAAUAUACAGAAGAGACAAUCCAGCAGGAAUGUUCCUGAACUAGUGGCAGGAGAGGAGACUCAAAAAAGAAAACAAAACUGGGUAGGAAUCAGGCGCUCCUCGUAUGCCAUCUCUAGCUGGCAGACGGACCCCCUGUGAGGACCCGUGUUGCUGUUGAGAAGAUCGUGGAUCCGUUCCAGCAAGUCACCAGAACUGGAAUUCAGCAGAAUUGAUUCCUGAUACUACCACUUCCUUCCUUCUCAAAAUUUUUUUAACUCGGGGGAAGUCCAGUCCAAAAUAGUAGUUCCCAUUUAUUGAGGACUUGUCCUGUACCGGUCUGUGCCAAUUAAGCAUAUUGUACACAGUUAGUCCUCAACUCUGCAAGGUAGAUGUUGCUGCUUUUUCUAGAGCUGGGGUUUCUCGACCUCAUCUCUUCACGUUUGGGGCUGGAUAGUCCUUUGUACGGGGGUGGGGGUGGGGUUGCUGUCCUCUAUGCACUGUCGGCUAUUUAGCUGCACCCUGGGCCUCCACCCCAUAGAUGCCAGUAGCAGCACCCCCUCCUCCCCAGUUGUGACAGCCGAAAAUGUCACCAGACAUUGCCAGAUGACCCUGGGGAGAGCCAAAUCGCUCCACUUGGGAACCGUGGCUCCAGAGCUGGGGAACAGAAGCCACCGCUUGCCUGAGGUCACAAAGCUGGCACACUGAGCCAGCCAGGAUCUGAAUACCAGGUCCUUUUUACCCCCAGGUAAAUGCUCUGAACCCCUAAGCUACUUCUCAUCCAGCUGCUUCUUUGUGUAUGUGCUCUUAAUAGCUUCACAGACACAGUUCACAAACAUUUUUAUGUGAAAAGUAAUACGUGAGUACAUGCUUGCUGAAAUAAAGUUCUAAAUCUCUCUCCCUUUAAUGUUGGCAGUUGGGCUGGUGUCUUUAUCUAUACCUGGAUCUGUGUACCUGCCUAGAUGUAUAGGGAGACAAAGAUGUGUACUUUUUUUAAAAGAUUUUAUUUUUUUCCUUUUUCUCCCCAGAACCCCC
rnacentral:lncRNA from 1 species